GAUAUAGAGACCGGCGCACGGGUGCGUAACGCGUAUGCAUCUACCUUUUACAGAGGGAUAGCCCAGAGAAAUUUGGAUUAAUACCUCAUAGUAUAGCUCUACCGCAUGGUAGUACUAUUAAAGUCACAACGGUAAAAGAUGAGCAUGCGUCCCAUUAGCUAGUUGGUAAGGUAACGGCUUACCAAGGCAACGAUGGGUAGGGGUCCUGAGAGGGAGAUCCCCCACACUGGUACUGAGACACGGACCAGACUCCUACGGGAGGCAGCAGUGAGGAAUAUUGGACAAUGGGCGCAAGCCUGAUCCAGCCAUGCCGCGUGCAGGAUGACGGUCCUAUGGAUUGUAAACUGCUUUUGUACGAGAAGAAACACUGCUUCGUGAAGCAGCUUGACGGUAUCGUAAGAAUAAGGAUCGGCUAACUCCGUGCCAGCAGCCGCGGUAAUACGGAGGAUCCAAGCGUUAUCCGGAAUCAUUGGGUUUAAAGGGUCCGUAGGCGGUUUAGUAAGUCAGUGGUGAAAGCCCAUCGCUCAACGGUGGAACGGCCAUUGAUACUGCUGAACUUGAAUUAUUAGGAAGUAACUAGAAUAUGU
rnacentral:rRNA from 1 species